AUUUUGUGAUGGUGGCAUCUUUUUAAUAGUUCUUUAAACCUUUCCCACGCCUCAUACAAGGACUCAUCAUUCAACUGUUGGAAGGUAGUAAUCUCGUUCCUCAACUU
rfam:Gossypium hirsutum cultivar TM-1 chromosome 21, whole genome shotgun sequence